CUUUCGGCAUAUUGUAAACACUGGACUGGACUUUGGACUGGACUUUGGACUUUGGACUUUGGACUUUGGACUAUGGACUUUGGACUAUGGACUUUGGACUUUGGACUUUCGAUUUUGAAAUUAUAUUGUUUUUUUAGAUUUUCGUAUAAUUAUAUUAAAAUCUAAACAGAGAACAAAAAUUUGCUGCUGAUAAGCGUGCUACACUGCAUGCACAUGCAUGAUAUAAUAAUAUACAAGGUAAAAAAUCUCUAGUAUCAGUUAUAUAGGUAUACCAGCAGUGCAAUUUCAUACGGAUAUAGCCUGUAGGAUAGCAGGAUUAUCCAAUAUUUUGGGAUUUAAUAUUUACAUUUUAUAUAACAUUUGUAUUUAUAGUAUGCAUAUAGUACAGUAUAUACUGCAGAACUUCUUCUUUAUCAUAUAGAUAAUAGAUUAAUUGUCAGAAACAAUUGUGACAAAAGUGUCUCGGCAAAUACAAAAUAUUAACUAUACAAGUGAUUAUUAUCGCGCCUGUUGAGUAUUGAGUAUUGUGACUGUUCAUCUUUGCAUAAUAGUUUAUACUAGUACUGCAGUAUUGUGUAAUUGUUUACUCCGUUACACAGUAACGUUUUGUUAAUGUUACUUAUUUUUGAAAGACAUUCUAGUUAGCUAUCCAUAUCACUAUAAGACUAAGUGCUUCAGUUAUUAUUAAUAAGUGUUAGUAGAUGGACAGGAAUAUUCGACAACGGAAAUUUACACACUUUUAAGACCUACUCAGUUGUGUGUGAGAAGGCAAAAAUCUAUGUCUAGGCCUAUGUGCUUCAGGUAGUCUAGCAACUAUUUGCCACGUUUACUGUAAUACUACCACUUGCAAGUGAUGAACCAGGCGGGAAUCGCGAUCGUAGUAUAAAGAUUAAUGCUCAGCCGCAUAACGUACGCAAAAGAGCCAUAUAUAGACAAUAAUAUAGACAUAAAUAUAUACAUAAAGUAAUACUAAUUACUAUAGAUUAUCAUAAGUAAUCAGUACUACCAAUUAUAUAAUAAUGUAUCAUACAUUCGUAUUUUAUAAAGUAUGAUGCGGACUAUGAGAGUUUUCGUGUUCACUAUGGCUGAAUACAUUUAUGAAAAGCUAAAACUGACACAGACAAAAUACAUUGUAAACACAGCCUAUUUAGGCAGGCGCUAAACCGGUGUAAACUAUUAUGCAAAGAUGAACAAUAUACCGUCAUUAGUAUUUUUGCGCAAGUGAAUAAAUAGUACAACAAAUCCUACAAGUUGUCAAGUUGAUUGGUCAAAUUUGACAAAUUCCCUAGCCUCCUUCGCAGACAUCAGAGAGAACUACACAACUGGCGCUGCGAGGGAGACUACAAAUUCCCGGAUAAUCACGGCCUCGCCUUCGGCGAAUAAUUGUUCAAAGCCAAAGGCGCAAUAAUAAUCGCGUGUAGUUUAUACUUAUACGUGAUAGUUUCUCAAUAUUUUGUAUUUGCCAAGCUACUUUUGUCGCAAUUGUUUCUAUAAAUCUAUUAUAUAUACGAUAAAGAAGAAGUUCUGCA